GCGAAAGUGGCGGAAUUGGCAGACGCGCAUGGUUCAGGGUCAUGUGCCUUACCGGCGUAGGGGUUCGAGUCCCCUCUUUCGCACCA
rnacentral:tRNA from 1 species